UUUUAUGGUCAAUCGCUGCAUUUAAAAAAAUGUAGAGGAAACUCCACGCUUGCACAAUCUGAGAUGGUUGUAGUGAUUAUGCUAGACGAAAAAAUAAGUCUAGGCAAUACACAGGUAUUGACGGCAUAACUAACCUAAGGCUUUGUUGCUAUGGUGAUGUUAUGAAGUGCCACAGAGACGAGUAUAGGGAAACCUUGAAAUGGAACGCGGUAAACCCCAUAAGUAAGAAACUUAAAUUUUGGUAAAGGAACUUGGAGAGCAGAAAUGAAUGUGAACCAGGAGGAUUAUAUCCUAGAUAGAUGAUUGACACCGAAAGGUACAAAACGUGGGUUAUAGUA
rnacentral:RNase_P_RNA from 1 species